rnacentral:lncRNA from 1 species
CUCAGUCUCGCAAAUCGUAUAGGACUCUCCUUUUCUACUAAGGUCGAUAGAUUCCAUCUAGGUGCAUCCUACUCCAAACAAUGAAUCUGAACCUACUGAAGCUAAUAUGCACAGCAAGGAUCCGAAUAGCUCAGAAUCAAGGAAACUUGUAGUCAAACCCAGUAGCCUGUCAAUAACACCAUAGGUUAAAAGAUCACUCACACC